rnacentral:piRNA from 1 species
UGUCCAUUUGAACUUUAAUCC